AAGUGUGGCAGAUUGUAUUUUCCAUCAAUGACCAAAUCAAGAUCCAUCCCACACCCUGACACUUUUCCUGUCUAGAGGUGGGAUCUACAUUCUCCUCCUUGUGACUGCGGUGUAAGUGACACCAGUGGCCUGUUUUGGAUGAUAAAUUACAUGGUCGCCCUAGGGUGGUGCUUCCAAAUUGAACUUUUUCAAGGGAAUAGGGUGCAGUGCUCUUGCGUAAUCAUGUGAAGUGGCGUGGAGGCAGUGACUAAUGGCCCCAAACAAGAAAGAGUAAAUGAAAGAGAGUGUGAACGGGAAGUUCCAAGCACAGCACUGGGAUCCAUGUUAUUCACCUUGCUGAAGUGCUAUUUACUGUCAUCAUCAGCUAAAGUCACAGAGCUUGAUGACAGAGCCAGGUCUGGGCCUGGGCCUCUCUGACUCUCCUGCAUUUUCCAGAAUGUGGAAGUCGGCAGUAUUCGUGGAGUUCCAGAGCUCAGUCACUUGAGAUACCUGUGUAUCCCCACAUUUGCAAAUGCUAUUUUAAGACCUUCUUUCAGAAGUGCCCCAGGAUAAUGAGCUCUGGCUGGCUGCCUCCAGCCGCACAGUCUGUUCUCAGGGGCGGGCGGCCUCUGUGCUCUGGCUGGCAUCUGUCUGUGCCCUGGAGUGCCCUGUGCUUGGGCCCCCUCCCUGCCGCUAAGCCACAUGGUGGUGUGAACAGGAGGCUGAGGUCUGAGAUGCCCCCGCUACUUUGAGGGGAGAUGACCCGAGGCUUCCGAUGGGAGAGGGGCAAGCGAAUGGGUUUCAAAGGCAGUGACUGGCUGUGGGGCUUGAGCAAGCAACUGGCCCCUAAAACCCUUCAGUGGCCUCAUUUGUCAAAUCAGUGACACGGAUGCCCACCUCACAGGAUUGUUGUGAGGGUCAGUGAGGAAAUUCACACAAAGCAGAGAGCCUGGCCCAGGGUCUACAUAUGGUAACUUACUGCUCACUUUCAAUGGAGCUUCAUGAGUUUAGAGUGGAAUUAGACAAUAGAGAAAUUCUCGAGGGAGGGGGCAAACAUCAGAGUGGAGACUUGUGACUUGUAAGGAGGAAUGCAAUUAUGUUUUGAAUAAUCGUAGAAAGGGAAGGCUGAAAUUGAGAAUUGGUUGAAAAUACUGUAUGGCCAGAGACAGUCAGAGAAACCGGUGGUAGCUCCACAGAAGAAAAGAUGGAAGUGCCUUCUAUCCUUUCUUUUCCUGCUUCAUGAGCUCUCCCCCUCCUCCACAGCCUCCUUUUGCCCUCAGACUUUGUUAUGCUGUUUAAGUAAUUGCUGUAAAAAUAAAUAUACCAGAAGUUUCCUUCCGUGUUUAUAAGCCUACAAUGCAGGAACUUUGAAAGAAGUUUUAUUUAACAAUAAAUUACAUCAAUGGAAUUCAUUCACAUUUAUGCUAUUAAAUUAAAUAACAGAAACCUGUUGGCUGCAGUAUAGUAGGCAAGUGGAAUAUAUUUUGUUUUCAAAAUGCAGAAAAGUCUUCUAAGUCUCUUCAGAAGAAUGGCUGUUGUUGGAUAACUGAUGUAAGACUCUGGCCUCCUCUGCCAUGGUGCUUAUUUACUACGUUAGUCAGGAGAAGCCGGGUAGUGCUGAGGUAACAAACAACUCCAAAAGCUCUCAGUGGCCGAAAUGACACUACCUUAAGUGACAUGUCCAUAUCAGUUUGUCCGGGGAAUGUGCUCCAAAUUCACCUCCCUCAGGAUGCAGGCUGAGGGGGCGGACUUCUGUGGGACAUGUUGCCAAUUGUCAUGGCCUAGGGAAACAGGGUAGUGGAUUGAGCCCAGGCUCGCAAAGCUUCCGCCUGGAAACUGGCACACAUCACUUCAGCUCGAAUGUCACUGGCCAAAGCAUGGACACACUCAGCUGUAAGGAAGCGAAGGAGUACAGUCCUGCCACAUGUUUGGCAGGAGAAUAGCAAUGUUUGCUGAGUAGCACUAGUACUACCGCAUUUAUGUGCGUGUGUUACCAGUCACAAACGACUGGAAGGUAAUGACCGUGACUUGUUUCUCUUUGCCUUUCUCCCAGUACCCCGCUGCAGAAGGGACAUGAAAAAAUGUCAGUUGACUGACUGACUAUAGAGGUUAGCACGUGACUGGAACAAAAUGGGAAUAAGGGCCUGAAAACUUAGACUUCUCCCUCUUCUUUUGACACUUCUCAUGCUGGGUUUCUGACUCUAGAAUUGACUACCUGGAUUGAUCCUGUAGCAUCAUUUAGCAAAGGUCCUUUGCAGAGACUGAGUAAGAUGGCACCUGUGACAGCCAGUGGUCAGUUAAGGUGUGUGGCUCUGACUAUUGCCCAGGUCCCUCUCCGGGAGGGUGGGGGGAGCUUGGAUGCCUAUUGCCAUCUGCCAAACUGCCCCAUGAGGCCUGCUGUCCUCAGGCGGGGCCCUAUGGUGCUCCCAAGCCCCUCUGACCUUUCCCUACUUCUCUUCUUCUAUUUCCAUAUCAAGACUUACUUGUCCUGUAUCCUGUUUCUUCAGAACUCAGCUUUCUACUAAGUAGAAUCAAAUUCUAUUUAAACCCCUGUUAACUUAUUAAUGGAUAUCCAUGGGUUAAAGAAGACCACCCUCCCACACACACACCAAUUGCUUAUCUUGGGCAGUUCACCCAAGAUAGUUUACUGGCAGUCACAGAUUCACCAUAUGUCCACAAUGAAAGAUGCCCUAGACAUCAUCUAAUCUGAUAGCUUUCAAACUGUUUUUUUCCAACUGAAAGAUAAUUCAGAAUCCUGUCUAUAAAACAUAAAUGGGUCUGCUCUGAUUGAGGGGAGAGGGAUAGCACCUCCUCGCUUGGCUUUCCCCAGCUCAAAGGUCCUAGACUGCACACACGAAACUCCACUGAUUCUAAGCCAACCCUCUGGGCUUGCGGAAGAGAAACUGAGGCUCAAAGAGAGGAAGGGACCUAGGAUCUCACAGAUAGUCAGUUACCAGACCAUGGGGUGGAUUCCAGGUCACCUGUGGGCUGGUCCAGACCCUCCACUCUGACAAAUCCUCCUGGAAGAAGUGGCCAGAGAAGAAAGGGGAUAUUUCUGAUGAUUCAUGGAAUUUGAUCAUCUAAGAACAAAGCAUUUUUUUUCUUCUAAGGCCCUGGCUGAUGAGACAGAGAUAAUGAGAGACAAAAACUUUUACCUCUAAGCUACCAGUUUGAAUGUAGUACAGGCUGUUAGUUACUCAAGAUCGUUAGUGUGUGAUGGGUUAUCAAAGGCCCAUGUGAAACGUGUGGGAUUUUUAUGAGCAUGCUUUUAUUAUAACAGACUGUUUAAAGGCCCUUAUGUACAAAGUACUUUGAAAACUCUAAUGGGGUCCUGUCAUCACCUGCAUAAUUAUGAAGGUCAAAUUGUGCUGCACAAACCUGAGCACUAUCUUUGACCAAAUUAGUGUAUGAACAGAACAGAAUAUUUUUUAAAUUUCUCUUUUUCUUGUUGUUGCUCCUUUCAGCCCCUGGGUACAACAAAAUUUCUCUUGGAGCUGCAGAGAACUGCCACUCUGAUACAUUUUUCCACUUUGUGUAAAUCUGAGGUUUUCUUUUCCCCUGGUUUAAGAGAGAGGAUGGAUAACCGCAUGCAGGUUUCAGAGUACAGAGUUGGCUGCUGAAUACUCAGGCCUAUCUGCUGGGGAAACUUGCUUCGGCUUGUUUUUGUCCCUGUCCCUCAUUGCCCCAUUGUCAACAGAUGCCCGUCCAGAGAGGCCUGGCCUCACCGGAUGUCCUUCUGUAGCGUGCCUGCUGCUUUCACUUGCCCUCCUCAAUUUUCCAUCUUACGCUAGGAAACAGCAAAGUUAGAAAAACAAUGGACUGUUUCCUUCCUCUUUCUUUAAACCAAGAGGCUGAAAGGAAGGCUUCGUAUUCAUUACUCACAGGCCAGACUUGGGGAUAAAGGUCAUUAAAGUUCAAAUGUAACAAAAGUUAAAGUCCACAGGUCUCAAUGAGUUCCCAGCCCAGCUGGAGUUGAGAUGCACUUACCCUCAUUUUAACACCAGGCUUGCCUCAAGCUUUGUAAGUAUUUUGGGUUGGCAUUUGGAAUCUGAGCUUGCCAAAAAACACACACACAAAAAAAAAACCCAAAAAAACAAAACCCUUAAGAUUAUGGGCAUGAGGAAGGGGAAGAAUUGACACAUAGAAGGCUCAAUUUGGGGGCAGUUUUCUUUUUUUGCUAGAGCUGUGGCCGCCAGGCUACCUAGAACUGUCAUUAUUAUUGGCGGUGACAGGUGCAUUUCCUAGAGCCCCAGGGCACCCCUGCUUAGUAGCUAUGAUGGUUUUUCCUGCCAUUUCUUAUUUCCUCUCUGUAAAAUCCUUGUGUGGACUGUUUUCUCCUGGCUAGACAAUGUGUGGACAGGAAAACCUCGUCUGGCGAGUGUUGGAGAUGCCCCGGUACAGCCAUGCUGCCUGUUGUGGUGAAGGGGAGAUGGAAACCACCUCUCCACACCAGGGUUCCACUCUGUGCUAUUCAUGCAAAAAAGCAACCUUCACGAUUUUUUUACCAGCUGGAUCUCCCUGUUGUAUUUGAAAUCAGAGCUAGAAGUCACAAAGCAGCGACCCUGGGACUGUGGGGGCAACGAACCAGGGUGCGACGAGAAAUGGCGUCAGCAGCACAGAGAGAUCCAGCAAAUCCUGCACAGGCAACAGGUUGGGCCAUAUUCGGGGCCACAUUCAGACCUUCGGGGCUCCUAGGAAUUUUCGCCAUUGUGGGCCUUUCUUCCAUACAAAUAAAUAAAUGAGUAAGUUAUAUGGCUUUGUUGCUAUACAGACAAAUGUGUUAGAGUUAUAGAUUCACAAUAUUUCCUUUGACCUGAAAGUUCAUUUUUUUUCUUCCUCUUUUAAAAGAAAUCAAAACAUUUUCGUGGGUACCUUAAAAUGUUUUGUGGGGUGUAAACACUGUGCCUGCUGUACCUAAUGGAUAAGUUGACACAGCUAACAGGAAGCAAACUCGUCCUUGGUACAAUUUGAAAGAAAUUGAAUAUUUAUGAAUUAGGGCAGUUUCACUACUUUGAAUGACAAUACAUACUACAAAUGAGUUUGGUUCAUAAAUGAGAGAGAUUAAUGAAAGGUGUAUGCAAAUCCACAAAUCAGAUCUCACAAUUAGCAAUAGGUUUGUAUACAAGAAUUUUGACAUUCUAAAAUAAAUUGUAAAACUUGGGUUUGGUAGGGCAAAAAAGCCAGAUGUGUCAUAGAUAUGGAGGUGGUAUGGCCUUUGGUCAGGAUCCUGGCUCCACCAUCUACACGCUUGGGCAAACUACUUUAUUCCUUGGGUAAGUUAUUUUUGUGCUUUUGGCUUCUUUCUCCCUAAGUGAGAGGCAUCAUCAGGUUGCCAGGAGGAUGAAAUGAAGUCAUGUUUGCAAAGCAUGUCAUAUAAUGCCUAUGAUAUUGUACACUUUCACUGUUAGUUAUUAUAAUUACUAUUAUUGUCAUCACAAUGAACCGUUGUUAUCCUGUUCAACAGAUGGAGAAACUCAGGCUUCUCCAUUAUUUUUCUGGGCAUUUUUGUUUUGUUUUGUUUUGUUUUGCUAAGUUCAGACAGGUGUUGAGUAGUUAAAAAGAGGGAUAUACCAGAGAUGAGAAUUAAUCAACCAGUAGCAUGAGAAGAAAGGAGUGUGGGAAGAGACAUGAAAGAUUCAAGGAAGGUUAAAAUACAGAUCCUGGCCUCAAAAAGAGUACUGGAGACAAGACCCGUCUGGGAAGGGUCAGAGACAGGACAAAGGGUGGCAGGCAAUCUCGGGGAGUAGCUGACAAGGGAAGGACCACUGGGGUGACAAGGGAAGGCAUCCCAGACAACUGGAUCCUGCUUAGUAAGUGACAAUUCCUCCUGGACAUUUCCAGAGGGAGAAACUGUGUCAGACUUUUUACUCAACAGUACCUACCACAACCUAUUUAGAACUGCCAAAUCUUAGUUUGGAAACAAAUGUCACAUUUCAACUAAAUGGGGACCAAAGGUGGUUUGGAAACUGGCCGCCUCCAACUGGAUAGGUAUAAGACUCUUGCGCAUUCAACUGGAAAUAGGACAGAGAAAGCAGCAGAAACAAAAAUACAAAGGUGUUCGGCCAUUCUAACAGUACUAGCUAUGAUAAUGGUAUUCAUAUUACUUCAUAUAGUGCUGUUCAAUUGUAAAAAAUUUACAUUUUUGUUUUUCACCAUUGAAAAUAUAUGUAUACCAGGAUUGCAACUACUAUUUUCAUGUAAGGAAGAGGAAACUGAACUUGAUCGAUUUGUCUAAAUCAUCUAAGUUUUGGGCCUUCAGGCGUGGAACUUAGAUCUAUUGAUUUUGUCUUUGUUGAGUUAUCACAAAAUCUUCAUGUUAUCAUAACAAUAGUGAUGUAUGGAGCCCCUGCUAUUUAUUUGACACUGCCAAGCACUUUAUAUAUAUUGUUUCUCAGUCUCAGUGAGGUUUCUCAGUCCAUUUAUAGGCCCAUUUAUAUAAGAAAUUCAGACUCUACUGAGGUCAAGUAACUUACUCCAGGUACUGUUUCUAAUAAAUUGAGAUCUUACUCAAGGUCUAUCUGACUUUAUGGGUCGAGCUCUUUUCUCUAUGUCUCAUCCUUGUUAGUUAUUGGGGUUUGAGUGGAUAUAAUUUUACUUUAAACUUUAAUGAAU